rnacentral:rRNA from 1 species
GUCCACGCCGUAAACGAUGGGCGCUAGGUGUGGGGGGUGUCGACUCCCUCCGUGCCGAAGCUAACGCAUUAAGCGCCCCGCCUGGGGAGUACGGCCGCAAGGCUAAAACUCAAAGGAAUUGACGGGGGCCCGGCACAAGCAGCGGAGCAUGUGGUUUAAUUGGAUGCGACGCCAAGAACCUUACCAAGGCUUGACAUGGUCGGGAAAGCUGGAGAAAUUCAGCCCUCCUUCGGGAUCCGAUCACAGGUGGUGCAUGGCUGUCGU